UCUAGCAUGAAGUCAGACAAGUGAACCCGCUGAACUUAAGC
rnacentral:rRNA from 4 species